rnacentral:SRP_RNA from 15 species
GCCGGGCCAGGAAAGAAAAACAGCAGCCAGAGCUGCAUUGAGCUGAGUGCUGAACGCAUGCUGCCCAGCAGUGGGC